rnacentral:pre_miRNA from 1 species
UUAACUUGAAUUUGUAUGGAAUUGGAAAGUUUGCCGCUAGGGGCGCUGUUCAAACUCCAUACAAAUUUAAGUUA